UACGGAGGAUCCAAGCGUUGUCCGGAAUUAUUGGGCGUAAAGAGCUCGUAGGCGGCUUGUCGCGUCGGCUGUGAAAACCUAGGGGCUCAACCUGGGCCUGCAGCCGAUACGGGCAAGCUAAAAUUCGGUAGGGGAGACUGGAAUUCCUGGUGUAGCGGUGAAAUGCGCAGAUAUCAGGAGGAACACCGGUGGCGAAGGCGGGUCUCUGGGCCGAUACUGACGCUGAGGAGCGAAAGCGUGGGGAGCGAACAGG
rnacentral:rRNA from 1 species